rnacentral:sRNA from 1 species
AACGGCUCGCGGAGCGGCUACGCGGAGUGACAUCGCCGGUGUUUGCGGGUGGUUGUUGCUCUCGGGGCCGUGUGGAGUAGGUCUGGACCUGGACUCACGGCUGCUUGGAGCGUCCGCCAUGAGGAGAAGUGAGGUGCUGGCGGAGGAGUCCAUAGUAUGUCUGCAGAAAGCCCUAAAUCACCUUCGGGAAAUAUGGGAGCUAAUUGGGAUUCCAGAGGACCAGCGGUUACAAAGAACUGAGGUGGUAAAGAAGCAUAUCAAGGAACUCCUGGAUAUGAUGAUUGCUGAAGAGGAAAGCCUGAAGGAAAGACUCAUCAAAAGCAUAUCCGUCUGUCAGAAAGAGCUGAACACUCUGUGCAGCGAGUUACAUGUUGAGCCAUUUCAGAGACAGAGUCUCGCUGUGUUGUCCAGGCAGGAGUACAAUGGUGUGGUCUCGGCUCACUGCAACCUCCGCCUCCCGGGUUCAAGCGAUUUUCCUGCCGUAGCCUCCCGAGUAGCUGGGAUUACAGGAAGAAGGAGAGACAACCAUCUUGCAACUAGAAAAAGAUUUGCGCACCCAAGUGGAAUUGAUGCGAAAACAGA